UACAGAGGUCUCAACCGUUGUUCGGAUUCAUUGGGCGUAAAGGGCUCGUAGGCGGUCUGUCGCGUCGGGAGUGAAAACUCAGGGCUUAACCCUGAGCCUGCUUCCGAUACGGGCAGACUAGAGGUAUGCAGGGGAGAACGGAAUUCCUGGUGUAGCGGUGGAAUGCGCAGAUAUCAGGAGGAACACCGAUAGCGAAGGCAGCUCGCUGGGACGGUACUGACGCUGAGGCGCGAAAGCGUGGGGGAGCGAACAGG
rnacentral:rRNA from 1 species